CAAAUUACUGGCAGGAGAGACACCAUGAUCAGGACGGUGGUUUUCCCAGGGCCAGGCUCACCUGGUGCACUGCGGGUGUGCUGACCCUUGCAACUUCCCCAAAUGUAGGAAACUCAACUGCAUACUUUGUGGUAGUGGGGGACUGCGUUCAUGCUCUCCCCUG